GAUCGACGGGUCGGUCGCGCCUCUGGUGUGUACUGGCCCUGUCGGUUUCUCCCUUCUGACGAACCACGAUGUCAUUAAUUUGGUGUCGUGGGAAAUCAGGACUGUUACUUUGAAAAAAUUAGAGUGUUUAAAGCAGGCAUUCGCUUGAAUACAUUAGCAUGGAAUAAUGAAAUAGGACGUUUGAUCUUAUUUUGUUGGUUUCUAAGAUCGACGUA
rnacentral:rRNA from 1 species